rnacentral:misc_RNA from 1 species
GGAAAUUUCAAACUUCUACUAAUAUAAAAUCUAUUACACAAAUUGUCAGUUUAAUGUGCUAUUAAAAUGAUCCAUAAUUAUGAUUCCAAAAUGCUAAUAGCACAAUUGUUACAUAAAUUCUUAGGAUGAAGGACUAAUAUUCAAGGUAAAGCAGGAGAAGAGGAGAGGGACAAGAGGACAUAAAAAAUACUCAAACUACAUUGUGCAUUUUGGGAACUAAGUAAAUUGUGGAUCUUAAACCUUUAGAUACAAGAAAACCCAAUAAAUUGUGCAUCUUAAUCCUAAGAAAACUCAGUGCCGGGUGCUUUUCAUUUCAACUUCAACGUUGCUGAUGAAAAGCUUGAGUACAGAGACUAACACUGUUUCCCUAUUUGUUCACUUGUGAGACCAAUUCAACCAUGUAUUUUGGCCUUUGUCAUUCUUCAACAGCUUCACCACUGCUGUACUUGAAAAACUUCUUUGACUUGCAAAACUUCAUAAGGAAAUACCAUCCAAUGGCUCCCACAGUCAUCAAGCCACUCACCAAAUAAACAAUCUUAGUAGCAAUAAGCAUUAUCAGGACCAAAAACCCAGAUGGUAUCAAGCACAUUAUCACCAACCCUGGUAGCCUCAUUGGAAUCUUGUAAGGUCUCUUCAAUUCUGGCAACUUUUUUCUCAACCAAAUAAAAGAGGCAAAUUCCAGCAACAUUCCUAAACUAUACAAGAAAUUAGCUGAUGAAAUUAUAUCAGUAAAAUUCAUGUAUGAUACCCCAAUUGUGAUCAAAGUUGAAAGCAAAAUCCCUACCCAAGGAGUAUCAAACCAUUUAGACCUUUUAGCAAAGAAGGUAGGCACAAAUCCUAAAUCAGCCAUACCAAGAAGCUGGUAGGUGUAGCAGCUCAAUUGAGCCUCAUACAUACCUAUAGCAGAUAAUACAGCACCAAUUUCAAUCCAAUAUUUGAGCCAUGUCCCUGCAAUCAUCUCUGCUGCAGUGGCAUGGAAUCCUGACUCCCAUUCACUUUGAUUCACGGAAAGAGCACCAGUCACCGCAAAGAGAGGAAUCAAAUAAGACACAAAAAUGAAUAUCACAGCCACAAACAGAGCCAAAGGGUAUGUUUUCUGAGGUUUAUCCACUUCUCCAGCUAGAGUACUGACAUUAUCAAAGAAAUUGAAGUUCCAAAAAAGGGUAUUGAAGAACAAAGUCCAAUCUUUCUUUACACCUUUCUGUCCUAAACUGAUCCAUCUAUGGGGAUGAAUCUUGGGGAUUGCAAUGAGAGACAUGAUUAUGAAAGGAGAAAGAGAAACUAUACCAAGCACAACAGCAACAUAGCCAACUAUGGUUAAUCCAGUAUAGUUGACAAAAGAUAGAAUAAGUGUCGAAAUCAAAAUGGCAAUCUUUCGAGGCCAACCUGAAUCCAAUACAGGAAGUACCUUUUUCAUAUAAUCAAUGCAAAGGACUGGAAAGGCAGCGAUAUUAAUGACACCACUCAGGAAUUUCCACGACCCCAUCAAGGAUCCAAAAAAGGGGCCAAAAGCACGAUCAGCCCAUAUAACAAAUCCCCCAUUUCCAGGAUAGGCUGUGGAAAGCUCAGCUGUAAUCAAAGCCUCAGGAAUACUCCAUAUGAAAGGAAAUAUCAAGAAACCAAGAAGAGCAUAGAGAGGUCCUGCAGCCUGGACAGCAGGUUCUUCACCAUAAGGACCUCCAGCAACUUCAAAAUAGAUUAAGAACACGAGAGGGACGAGGGUAAGUUUCUUUGGUAAUUUGGUGGUGGUGGUUGCGGUGGUGAUAGGGAGUUCCUCAGGCAUAAUAUUUGGCGAUUUUGGUGGAGUUUGCAUGGUGGGUUCUGGCUUUGGAGUCUUAUCUUGUGGAAAGGAUGCUCAGAAGCUGUGUGAUUGGAUUUCUGCUCGCAUAAAUUGGAAAACGAUUACUAAUGCGUUUCUACGGAUUCAUAUAAAGAAAGUGAAGCAUGAGAGAGAAUGGAGGCUGAGCCAUUAGGGUUGUAGAUAAGGGAGACACGCAGC